CAACAGGGAUUGCCCUAGUAACGGCGAGUGAAGCGGCAACAGCUCAAAUUUGAAAUCUGGCUCUUUUAGAGUCCGAGUUGUAAUUUGCAGAGGGCGCUUUGGCUUUGGCAGCGGUCCAAGUUCCUUGGAACAGGACGUCACAGAGGGUGAGAAUCCCGUACGUGGUCGCUAGCUAUUGCCGUGUAAAGCCCCUUCGACGAGUCGAGUUGUUUGGGAAUGCAGCUCUAAAUGGGAGGUAAAUUUCUUCUAAAGCUAAAUAUUGGCCAGAGACCGAUAGCGCACAAGUAGAGUGAUCGAAAGAUGAAAAGCACUUUGGAAAGAGAGUCAAACAGCACGUGAAAUUGUUGAAAGGGAAGCGCUUGCAGCCAGACUUGCUUGCAGUUGCUCAUCCGGGCUUUUGCCCGGUGCACUCUUCUGCAGGCAGGCCAGCAUCAGUUUGGGCGGUGGGAUAAAGGUCUCUGACACGUUCCUUCCUUCGGGUUGGCCAUAUAGGGGAGACGUCAUACCACCAGCCUGGACUGAGGUCCGCGCAUCUGCUAGGAUGCUGGCGUAAUGGCUGUAAGCGGCCCGUCUUGAAACACGGACCAAGGAGUCUAACAUCUAUGCGAGUGUUUGGGUGUCAAGCCCGAGCGCGUAAUGAAAGUGAACGGAGGUGGGAACCCGCAAGGGUGCACCAUCGACCGAUCCUGAAGUUUACGGAAGGAUUUGAGUAAGAGCAUGGCUGUUGGGACCCGAAAGAUGGUGAACUAUGCUUGAAUAGGGUGAAGCCAGAGGAAACUCUGGUGGAGGCUCGCAGCGGUUCUGACGUGCAAAUCGAUCGUCAAAUUUGGGCAUAGGGGCGAAAGACUAAUCGAACUAUCUAGUAGCUGGUUCCUGCCGA
rnacentral:rRNA from 1 species